rnacentral:piRNA from 1 species
UCACUGAUUACUUGAUGACAGCA